AGAUAUGAGAGCGAUCUGGCUGCAACAUCUGUCACCCCUUUGUUUCAGCUGAUUUGGUUGGUUAGGCAGGUGUCCCCUUCCUCCCUCACCACUCCAUGUGAGUCUCUCCAGAAGCUGCAUGCUCCGUCAAAGAGGAUGCAUUCCCUGGAAUAGAGACUGACCGGUUUAUGCAAGUAGCUGCACUCCCCUGCUAGAACCUCCAAACAAGCUUUCAAGGUCCAUUUAUAGGAGGAUGUAGUGUAGGCAAGUUUCCAAGACUCCAGACACAUCCAAAUGAGGCACUGCAUGUGACAGUCUGACUUUCUUU
rnacentral:snRNA from 1 species